UCAACUUAUCCAGCAAACUAUCGCCUAUUAUUUCCAUUCUCUUGCUGGUUUGCUGCAAUACUGCUGUACUCUUUUAAGACAGUUUGAGAACUAUCAUAUUCAACAUAUCCCCAAGGAGAAGAAUUACCUUGCUGUCUAUUUUGCAAGAUGGAGUUUCAAUUCGAAUUUGGGCAUUUGAUUUUUUGAAAAUGCCCCAUUGCGGCUAGUAAUGUGUUGGUUGAUGACUUGCUAGGGCCUCUCGUGGCUCG
rnacentral:lncRNA from 1 species